GGCCCUGCUCCCUUAGGUUUGUGUGGACAUCCCGGGCUCGUCCAAGCUGCUCCUGGAGCUGCCCCUGGUCAUCGGCACCGUCCCCCUGCACCUUUUUGGCAGCCGCUCCUCCAGUGUGGGCAGCCACUCCGACUUCCUGCUGGACUGGGGGCUGGGCGCCCUGACUCAGCAGCCCGAAGCUCCUCCUGAGUAUUCCGACGUGGUGGCGGAGGAGGACGCAGCAGGCCCUGCACAGGGCCACUUCACACUGCUGCAGGAGGCCAUGAGCUUUGAAGGCCCCUACUUUGCUUACCUCCAGGAGUGCCGCUACCUCCCACCGCCCCUGUACUCUGAGGUCGCAGCUGUUUCCCCAAAUGCUGGGCCCUGUGGCCUCCCCUUUGGCUGUGGUGCAGCUUCACAAGCUUCCACUAAAACAGGUACAUCCCGACACGUGUGGUGGCGCACACCUGUAAUCGCAGCACUCAGGGAGGCUGAGGCAGGAGGAUCGCUGCGAGUUCAAGACCAGCGUGGGCUCACAGUGAGUUCCAGGUCAGUCUCAACUACAUAGUGAGACCCUGUCUCAAAAAAACAAAGAAUAAGUACAUCCCACGCAGCACUCGCCCCGGCUGCCAUAUGGGAUAUACUUGCAUUACCCAGAAAAAUUUAAACUGGGUGCCUUGGUGCACAUCUCAGCGCUCUGGGAGGCUGAGGCAGGAGGGUCCCAAGGUCAAGCCCAUCCUAGUCAAUUUAGCGAGACCCUGUCUCAAAAUAAAAACGACUUACAAAAGGGAGGGGAGGUAGCUCAGUGGAAAUGCCCUAGGUGCAAUCCCAGUACUUAGAAACAAAACCAAACACACAGGGCCUUGGUGGACUGAGGUGAAGGAGCGCGAUUCCGUCCGGGCUGUGGGGGGUGGGGGGGUGGUGCCCCCCGCCCUGCCUGUGCGCACCCAGAGACUUUCCCUGACCCCAGACCUCCCGCUGGCCCGGCCCUGGAAGCCGGGCCGGAGUGGCUGCCUCAAGGGCAGCAGGGGCCUUGACCUUCACAGCUCAGGCCGGGUUUAGGCCGGUUGGGCCAGACAGGCGUUGGCUGAAGUUUCAGGGAGCUGGGGCCGCAGCCCGGCCCAAACGCUAUGAUAGGGGAGAGAACCCAG
rnacentral:lncRNA from 1 species